CUUUUCUUUUUGUUGUUGUUGAUUUUUUGUUUUAGAUUUGCUAGCUAGUAGGUCUGCUACUGUGAAAAGUGAUAUUUGUAUAUUUG